rnacentral:rRNA from 1 species
UGCAAGUCGAACGGCAGCGGGGGAGCUUGCUCCCGCCGGCGAGUGGCGAACGGGUGAGUAAUACAUCGGAACGUACCCAGUAGCGGGGGAUAGCCCGGCGAAAGCCGGAUUAAUACCGCAUACGCCCUACGGGGGAAAGGGGGGGAUCGUAAGACCUCUCACUAUUGGAGCGGCCGAUGGCUGAUUAGCUAGUUGGUGGGGUAAAGGCCUACCAAGGCGACGAUCAGUAGCUGGUCUGAGAGGACGACCAGCCACACUGGGACUGAGACACGGCCCAGACUCCUACGGGAGGCAGCAGUGGGGAAUUUUGGACAAUGGGCGAAAGCCUGAUCCAGCAAUGCCGCGUGUGCGAAGAAGGCCUUCGGGUUGUAAAGCACUUUUGUCAGGGAAGAAAUCGUUUGGGUUAAUACCCCGAGCAGUUGACGGUACCUGAAGAAUAAGCACCGGCUAACUACGUGCCAGCAGCCGCGGUAAUACGUAGGGUGCAAGCGUUAAUCGGAAUUACUGGGCGUAAAGCGUGCGCAGGUGGUUUGUUAAGACAGUUGUGAAAUCCCCGGGCUUAACCUGGGAACUGCAAUUGUGACUGGCAGACUAGAGUGAGGCAGAGGGGGGCGGAAUUCCUGGUGUAGCAGUGAAAUGCGUAGAUAUCAGGAGGAACACCGAUGGCGAAAGCAGCCCCCUGGGCUAUCACUGACACUCAUGCACGAAAGCGUG